GAGCACUCAGUCACAACAUUCAGCUUCAACUGAUAACACCAAAGGCAUAAAAAAGCACACGCUAUCUCAUUGUUCGCUGCGCUUAUGGCUAGCAGCAGCUCAUUGUUUACCGCGCCCGUCGCAGUGACGCGAGCGCCACGUGAGCAGCAGCGCUGCCCGCGCAUCCAUCGUAAUGUCGCUCCAGGCUCAUGAAGUCGGUGUUGUAUGUGCCCUCCAGUCCGGAGACUGGAUACGACGGAUUAAGCUCCAACGCUCAACAUGAAGAACACCAAUACAUCAUCUCGCGCCUGGACGAUGUUUUCGCACAGCAAGGUGAGGAAGUGGUAGCGUAAGGACGUGUGCUUGGAUCCGUUGUACGAGUAGUGUUAAAAAUGUGCAUUUUACCUGUUCAUUAAAAGUAUUAUAAAAAGUUAUUAGAAAAGGAAUAUUUAUUUUCACAGUCAUAAUUUCAUACCCUAUCUGUUCAUCAUUUUACUCACUGCUGAGAUCCUGCAUCAGGAGGUUUGGUGCAGACAAUAAUAAUUCACGCGGUACCUGGAGGAGCGUUCUUGCAUUCAACAGUGUCACACUCAAGACUAAACACAAUGGAAUUAAUGUGAAGGUAAUGACACAGACUUGAUAGGUGUCUAUGGAACUUGGUUUACUUAUACUGAAAAUAUUGUACUUCGUGUGACAUAUCGACAGUUUCAAUGGUUACAGUGAUUAUUUGGUACCGCACACUACUGGAAGCAGCAGUACAUACUGCAAAUUAUGUUUAUUGACCUGGAAUGUAAUGAUAUUAAAGGUCUGUUGAUAUUGUUGUCAGUUAAAGUUCACCCAA